CACGUAGGGACCAAGCGUUGUCCGGAUUUAUUGGGCGUAAAGAGCUCGUAGGCGGUUCUGCAAGUCGGGUGUGAAAACUCUGGGCUUAACCCAGAGCCUGCAUCCGAUACUGUGGUGACUAGAGUCCGGUAGGGGAGUGGGGAAUUCCUAGUGUAGCGGUGAAAUGCGCAGAUAUUAGGAGGAACACCGGUGGCGAAGGCGCCACUCUGGGCCGGUACUGACGCUGAGGAGCGAAAGCGUGGGUAGCAAACAGG
rnacentral:rRNA from 1 species